UAAGAAUUUAUUUAAUGCAUUGACUGCCCAGUGAUUUAAUUAUUUAACGGCUGUGGUCAUACAUACAAAGGUAGCAUAAUAAGUUGUUUUUUAAUCGAAAUCCAGUAUGAAUGUUUCUAUGAGAAUAAAACUGUCUCUUAUUUGUAAAAGAAAAUUAAUUUAAAAGUGAAGAAGCUUUUAUCUUAUAAAAAGACGAAAAGACCCCGAUGAAUUUUAGAUUAAACACAUUUUAGUGCUAUAUCUUUUACUGGGGUAGUAUUUGAGAUUUUGUCUUAUAAUUUAAUAAAAAUUCAUGUGGAUCCUCUAUUAGAGGUAAUAAGUAAAAUUACCACGGGGAUAACAGUGUAGUAUUUUCAGGAAGUACUAAUUGAAGAAAAUAUUAACCACCUCGAUGUUGGACUAAGAUUUCCUUUAGGUGCAGGGGCUUUUAGGGUAGGUCUGUUCGGCCUUUAAUAUCUUACAUGA
rnacentral:rRNA from 1 species